AUUCAUAUGAUGAGUCCCAAAAAUAGGACUAAACACGCGUCCUGUAU
rfam:Schistosoma curassoni strain Dakar, Senegal genome assembly, scaffold: SCTD_scaffold0007556